AUGUCAGACACAGAGAGGUUCUGAUGUCAGACACAGAGGUUCUGAUGUCAGACAGAGGUUCUGAUGUCAGACACAGAGGUUCUGAUGUCAGACAGAGGUUCUGAUGUCAGACACAGAGGUUCUGAUGUCAGACACAGAGGUUCUGAUGUCAGACACAGAGGUUCUGAUGUCAGACACAGAGGUUCUAAUGUCAGACACAGAG